rnacentral:rRNA from 1 species
GAUCCUGGCUCAGGACGAACGCUGGCGGCGUGCUUUAUACAUGCAAGUCGAACGAGUAGCUGACUUCGGUCAGUGGAAAGUGGCGGACGGGUGAGUAAAAUGUAGAGAAUCUGCCCUUGAGCGGGGGAUAACAGUCGGAAACGAUUGCUAAUACCCCAUAUGAGGUGAGUUGCGAUACUUUAUCUUGAAAACUCCGGUGCUCAAGGAUGAGUCUGCAUCUGAUUAGCUAGUUGG